AUGUGUUUACCGAACAGUUUCCGGUUUCCUUAUAAAUGUUGCGCUCCUUGGCUUCUACAUCCAAUAAUGGCCCUCUUCCACGUGUCGUAUGAAUGCGAAAAGCCAGGGUAUUUUUACAUUUUACCCCCUAGCUGCGCGAAUAAGCUGUCUAUAAGAGAGGCGAGGAUCCAGAUCCGAAUCACACCAUCCUCCUUCCGCAAGUUCUCAUCGAAGCGCAUCCGACAAAAAUCCAUUCCAACAUGGACAGUCGACGCGGCUCCUCCUCUCGCGCUCCCAGUCCUCAGCCAGGAGAUUGGAGGAGAUGUUCUGUCCCGCAUAGCGAGUUAG
rnacentral:rRNA from 1 species